ensembl:processed_transcript Six3os1 SIX homeobox 3, opposite strand 1
CGGCCGCGCCUUGUGAGCGCUAAGCCGGGAGGAGGGCGCAGGCAGGGCGCACAGCUCUGAGCGCGCCCCUACCCGGCUCGGGCCCGCAGCAGCCCCGACUGUCCGAGAGCCUCUCCGCAAGCAAGGCUCUGCGCCGCCCUCUGAGCCCACCUCCUGGCCACAACGCCGCCUGCGCUUCUCCAGCCCAGGCCGGAAGCCCUACGCUGCCUCCUGAAGCCGGACUUUCUGGAAGCCCAUCUCCGUAUGCUCACCAGCCCACCCUCCUACGCUGGUCAGAGUGAGAUUGCUAACCUCAAGACCCCAUUCAAUGCCAGCUUUCAACUGCUGCUGAAGACCAAUGUAGGUCCUGGAUUAGAAGAACCGCAGAGUCUUGGCUUUUGCUUUUGUGUGUCCACCUCGAGCAGAUCCGGAGCUGGCCGACCCCAGACUGAUUCUCAACAGGUGGCUGGGUUACCAAACAGCCUGGACUUUUGAAUCAGAUCUCUGGAGCGAGCAUUAAGAACUCCAGCCAAACAGAUCUCAGGGCCUGGCCCUUUCACUCAGCCGCGGAGGCUGCUUGAGGGAUGG